rnacentral:rRNA from 1 species
ACGAACGCUGGCGGCAUGCCUAACACAUGCAAGUCGAACGAGACCUUCGGGUCUAGUGGCGCACGGGUGCGUAACGCGUGGGAACCUGCCCUUAGGUUCGGAAUAACUCCCCGAAAGGGGUGCUAAUACCGGAUAAUGUCUUCGGACCAAAGAUUUAUCGCCUUUGGAUGGGCCCGCGUUGGAUUAGCUAGUUGGUAGGGUAAAAGCCUACCAAGGCGACGAUCCAUAGCUGGUCUGAGAGGAUGAUCAGCCACACUGGGACUGAGACACGGCCCAGACUCCUACGGGAGGCAGCAGUGGGGGAUAUUGGACAAUGGGCGAAAGCCUGAACCAUCAAUGCCGCGUGAGUGAGGAAGGCCUUAGGGUUGUAAAGCUCCUUUACCCGGGAUGAUAAGGACAGGACCGGGAGAAUAAGCUCCGGCUCACUCCGUG